CAUCUAGGAUUAUGUUUGUUAUUUCCUAGUUUAUCUUCCGAUCCUUUUUCUGUAUAGCAGAUAUUUCUACCCAUGUACCCUGUGUAUGCUAAGGCAUACGAUGAAUGCAAAUAUUAUCAAACCACGACCAGCCCAGAGGAUUCCGCGAGCACGGACCUGGAGGAGUAGAUCUACGAGACCAAAAGGUCCAGGCCUUGCGCCAACACAAGGAGAGGAGCGCCGGCGCCUCCAGUAGUAGUUGUCGCUCCACGUAGGCAGGGAUCCAUGGAGAGGUACGAGCUGCUCAAGGACUUGGCGCCGACAACUUCGGCCUCACACGACUCAAGGGAACCAAGGAGGUCGUCGCCAUGACGUACAUCCCAUGGGGCCUCAAGAUGGAGCUCAUUUUGGCUGAGUUUGCUACCGAGUUGCCACAUUUUGAGGGCCUGCAAUUGAAGAAUACACCACUUUUUGCCAACGAUACUAGAGUAAUGAUAUCUACUGCAAGAAAGACGUAUUUUCUUUUUGUUGGAGAUAUUCUGCAUCUUAAUUUUAUGGACGGUGACAUUUUAGACAAAAUUUUGAUGUCCUAACCAUCAAGAUCAACUUCGACAUGUCUAGUCUCUAGAAGUUACUAUUGACCAUCAUUGGUGCAUCUUGUAAGGUAUAGUCAGUACUAUGAGUAACUUACCAGGCAUGCACUGACUGUAGAAGUUGCUAUACAACUCUUGUGAAUUCUAA